rfam:Hordeum vulgare subsp. vulgare, WGS project CAJW01000000 data, contig: morex_contig_41866
GAGAUACUCCCUCCGUCCCUAAAUUCUUGUUUUAGUUUUGUUUAGAAAUGGAUGUAUCUAAAUACUAAAUCAUGACUAGAUGCAUUCAUAUCUAGACAGACAAAUCUAAGACAAGAAUUUUGGGACGGAGGGAGUAUAAA